rnacentral:pre_miRNA from 1 species
UGUGACUGGUUGACCAGAGGGGCGUGCACUUUGUUCACCCUGUGGGCCACCUAGUCACCAA